rnacentral:lncRNA from 10 species
GUGGGACUGCUGGAUUGCUGUGGAAGAUCGAGUGGGGGCUCUGUCAUAUUGGAAAUACCUGUCUGCAGGAUCAACCGAGCUGAGAGAUCACCCAGAGGCCUCUUUUCCAGAAUGCCUGGUGAAAGAGAAGGCAAUUCACAGAGCACAAGCUACAGCUCUGACACUGGCCCUUCCUGCUGAAAUCGCCAUCAUUUAACGACAGUUGUGGUUCUGCCGACACAAUGUACUGCCCUGGCUGUGCAG